rnacentral:rRNA from 1 species
GAGUUUGAUCAUGGCUCAGAUUGAACGCUGGCGGCAUGCCUAACACAUGCAAGUCGAACGGUAACGCGGGGGCAACCCUGGCGACGAGUGGCGGACGGGUGAGUAAUACGUAGGAAUCUGCCCAUUUGUGGGGGAUAACCCGGCGAAAGCCGGGCUAAUACCGCAUACGCUCUACGGAGGAAAGCGGGGGAUCGUAAGACCUCGCGCUAAUGGAUGAGCCUACGUCGGAUUAGCUAGUUGGUGGGGUAACGGCCCACCAAGGCGACGAUCCGUAGCUGGUCUGAGAGGACGAUCAGCCACACUGGGACUGAGACACGGCCCAGACUCCUACGGGAGGCAGCAGUGGGGAAUACUGGACAAUGGGGGCAACCCUGAUCCAGCAAUGCCGCGUGUGUGAAGAAGGCCUGCGGGUUGUAAAGCACUUUCAGAGGGAAGAAAAAUACGGAUCUAACACAUCCGAGCUUGACGUUACCCCUUAGAAGAGCACCGGCUAACUCCGUGCCAGCCGCCG